rnacentral:rRNA from 1 species
UGGCCAUGGAAGUCGGAAGCCGCUAAGGAGUGUGUAACAACUCACCUGCCGAAGCAACUAGCCCUGAAAAUGGAUGGCGCUAAAGCUCCGUGCCUAUACCCGGCCGCCGGAAGGCAUAGGCGUGAGCCGCUCUCGGGCGGCGAGCGCGCGAAGCCCCGGCGAGUAGGAGGGCGCGGCGGUGAGCGCGGAAGGGUCUGGGCGUGAGCCUGCCUGGAGCCGCCGCCGGUGCAGAUCUUGGUGGUAGUAGCAAAUACUCAAGCGAGGGCCUUGAGGGCUGAUGUGGAGAAGGGUUUCGUGUGAACAGCCGUUGCACACGAGUCAGUCGAUCCUAAGCCCUAGGAGAAAUCCGAUGUCGAUGUGGGGGGCUUAAAACACUCCCCCUCGAUGGGCGAAAGGGAAUCCGGUUCCUAUUCCGGAACCCGGCAGCGGAACCGAAUGUACGGGCCCUCCAUCGAGAAGCUCGUCGGGGUAACCCAAAGGGACCCGGAGACGCCGUCGGGAGACCCGGGCAGAGUUUUCUGUUCUGCAUAAGCGUUCGAGUUCCCUGGAAUCCUCUAGCAGGGAGAUAGGGUUUGGAACGCGAAGAGCACCGCAGUUGCGGCGGUGUCCGGGUCGUCCCCUCGGACCUUGAAAAUCCGGGAGAGGGUCACGCGGAGGUGUCGCGCCGGCUCGUACCCAUAUCCGCAGCAGGUCUCCAAGGUGAAGAGCCU